rnacentral:rRNA from 1 species
GAUGAACGCUGGCGGCGCGCCUAAUACAUGCAAGUCGAGCGAACAGACGAGGAGCUUGCUCCUCUGACGUUAGCGGCGGACGGGUGAGUAACACGUGGAUAACCUACCUAUAAGACUGGGAUAACUUCGGGAAACCGGAGCUAAUACCGGAUAAUAUAUUGAACCGCAUGGUUCAAUAGUGAAAGACGGUUUUGCUGUCACUUAUAGAUGGAUCCGCGCCGCAUUAGCUAGUUGGUAAGGUAACGGCUUACCAAGGCAACGAUGCGUAGCCGACCUGAGAGGGUGAUCGGCCACACUGGAACUGAGACACGGUCCAGACUCCUACGGAAGGCAGCAGUAGGGAAUCUUCCGCAAUGGGCGAAAGCCUGACGGAGCAACGCCGCGUGAGUGAUGAAGGUCUUCGGAUCGUAAAACUCUGUUAUUAGGGAAGAACAAAUGUGUAAGUAACUAUGCACGUCUUGACGGUACCUAAUCAGAAAGCCACGGCUAACUACGUG